AUGAUAAGUCUGACGGGCCUCCUCCAAAACCUUGAGGUGCCGCAGGUACAACUCAUGUGGCCUGGGACUGAGGUACCUCAUAUGUCAUAUGAGACUAUGAUGACUCUCAUUCCUCAGGUACCUAGGCAUGACAACAAAACUCCGUUUUCUCGUCACGUUGAAAUCCACGGCGGUGUGAGAUCCAUUUCACCACCGGCGAUCUCACGUUCACCGGUGGUUCGCGCGUUUAAAUCUCUUCUACCUCAUACUAGUGCAAUUGUAAGCUUAUGCUGGUAA